CAGUCGCCACGGGAAUACCGAGGGUGCAAGCGUUAAUCGGAAUUACUGGGCGUAAAGCGCGCGUAGGUGGUUUGUUAAGUUGGAUGUGAAAUCCCCGGGCUCAACCUGGGAACUGCAUUCAAAACUGACUGACUAGAGUAUGGUAGAGGGUGGUGGAAUUUCCUGUGUAGCGGUGAAAUGCGUAGAUAUAGGAAGGAACACCAGUGGCGAAGGCGACCACCUGGACUAAUACUGACACUGAGGUGCGAAAGCGUGGGGAGCAAACAGGAUUAGAUACCCGCGUAGUCCCUGUCUCUUAUAC
rnacentral:rRNA from 1 species